GCGCUUGGACGGCGCGGCGAAGAUGUUUAUAUUAGACCGGUCGGCGGAUUUCCGUCGACUAUGGCGAUAAACGCCGCGCGAAAUAAGCGUUGCGGACCCGGGGGCAGUACCCGGCGCCUCCACCAUUUCGUUUCGCCGGCACUUGGCGCCAAGAGCGCCGGGCCGGGGCGAUGUUUUUACGGGGGCGAACCAGGAUCGACGUGCGUGGUAAAGGUUCGGUUUUCGCUCGGUAUGGUACCACCGUUAUCGGGCCAAAAUGUAAGUGCGAACGAUAAUGAAGUAGCACUCGCUGCCUAGCAUUGCUGGGUAAGCGCGGUUCGGGGGGCACCGGGCAACAGAAGCCCCCCACU
rnacentral:tmRNA from 1 species